AUUGAACGCUGGCGACAGGCUUAACACAUGCAAGUCGAGCGAGCGCCGGAGGGGUGGGUAAUUUCGGGAAAACUCCCUGAUGGAGGGGGAUAAUUAUUGGAAACGUUGGCAAAAACGCCUUACAAUCGAUGGUGCCCAGAUGGGAUUAGCUCGUAGGUGGGGUAAUGGCUCACCUAGGCGACGAUCCCUAGCUGGUCUGAGAGGAUGACCAGCCACACUGGAACUGAGACACGGUCCAGACUCCUACGGGAGGCAGCAGUGGGGAAUAUUGCACAAUGGGCGCAAGCCUGAUGCAGCCAUGCCGCGUGUGUGAAGAAGGCCUUCGGGUUGUAAAGCACUUUCAGCGAGGAGGCGUUACUCGCAGAAGAAGCACCGGCUAACUCCGUGCCAGCAGCCGCGGUAAUAC
rnacentral:rRNA from 1 species